rnacentral:rRNA from 1 species
AUUGAACGCUGGCGGCAUGCUUUACACAUGCAAGUCGAACGGCAGCGCGGGCUUCGGCCUGGCGGCGAGUGGCGAACGGGUGAGUAAUGCAUCGGAACGUGCCCAGUAGUGGGGGAUAGCCCGGCGAAAGCCGGAUUAAUACCGCAUACGACCUGAGGGUGAAAGCGGGGGACCGAAAGGCCUCGCGCUAUUGGAGCGGCCGGUGACGGAUUAGCUAGUUGGUGGGGUAAAGGCUUACCAAGGCGACGAUCCGUAGCUGGUCUGAGAGGACGACCAGCCACACUGGGACUGAGACACGGCCCAGACUCCUACGGGAGGCAGCAGUGGGGAAUUUUGGACAAUGGGGGCAACCCUGAUCCAGCCAUGCCGCGUGCGGGAAGAAGGCCUUCGGGUUGUAAACCGCUUUUGUUCGGGAAGAAAUCCUCUGGGCUAAUACCCCGGGGGGAUGACGGUACCGGAAGAAUAAGCACCGGCUAACUACGUG